rnacentral:rRNA from 1 species
UACAGAGGGUGCGAGCGUUAAUCGGAAUUACUGGGCGUAAAGCGCGCGUAGGCGGCUUUGCAAGUCGGGUGUGAAAUCCCCAGGCUUAACCUGGGAACUGCAUUCGAGACUGCAUUGCUAGAGUAUGGGAGAGGGAAGUGGAAUUUCCGGUGUAGCGGUGAAAUGCGUAGAUAUCCGGAGGAACACCGGUGGCGAAGGCGGCUUCCUGGACCGAUACUGACGCUGAGGCGCGAAAGCUAGGGGAGCAAACGGG